ensembl:lncRNA
CAACGUCAAAAGACCAAGUUAAUACUAGAAGAUUCCCUAUGGGCUUCCUAUUCUGCUGUGGCCCGAAGAGAGGACAUUUGGUAAGAAAGAGAUGAUCUCAUGCAUUAAGCAAAUCAUUUCCCAGAAGCAAGGGGAGAAUUAGACUCCACCUCUUGAUGGGAAAGCAGCAAGUCACACUGCAGAAGAAUCUGUGGGACGGAAGCUAUUAUUGUGGCUGUCUUUGGAGGAUGCAAUCUGCCACAGUGGGGAGUUGGCAGCACUUGACUCUGUGACCCGCCAGAAUCUGUGACUGCCUCACACAAGCUCCAUUUUGAGCGGCCCCCAGGACUCCUGCUCCUGUCACGUCACACAGUCAGCUGCCUGUUGUGAUCCUGGAAACCCGCUUAGUUCAGUCCAUUGACGUGAAUUUCUGGGAGCAAUUUGGCCACUUUGUUUCUUAUUUUUCCAGCCCUUUCCUUAACACUUUCUAUUCGCAAAAUAUUUGCUUAAAGCAAUAGUGUCAAUCAUUAAUGUUCCUAAGUAUUCCACAGUGAGCUUGCUAGAAAUACCAGGCCCUCUUCUCUGUCUUUAGAUUCUGAUCUAAUAAGAUCAGAUCGAAUAGUAGAGUGCUAGUGAUACUGAUGAAGGAAGUCCAGGGGUUGCACUUCAGGGAAAAAUGGCUUACAUGUAUGAGGGGUGGAGGUGAUAAAGGAUAGCCCUCAAUCCUGCCUGCUCUCUUGCUCUGUUGGGGAAGCCUCAGUGGAAUGUAGGAAGUUUGCCCAUGCCUUGUACAAUGGAUGGAAUACUACUCAGCAAUAAAAAGGGACUGACUGCUGAUACCCAGAACAGGGAUGAAUCUCAGAAGAACUCGACCGAGUGAAAGAAGUCACACAUAAGAGUGCAGACGAUAGAAACGGGAUCAGCGGUUAUUUGUGGGAGCGAGGGGGAUUGACUGGGAGGGGAUUUGAGGCAACUCUGGUGAUACAAAUGUCUGUGUCUUGAUUGACAAGGGUGUGCAUUACAGGAGUAUAUGCCUUUGUCAAAAUCUAUCCAACUGUACGUUUACGAUCUGUGCUUUUCAUUGUAUACAAACUAUCUUAAAUGUUUUAACUUGACUAUACCCAUUUUGGGUAAUGAUAAAAUUAUUUUUACCAAUUUUUUUUAUCAAUUUGUAUCCUUUAAAAGCAUGCAAAAGGCAAAACAAAACCUGUUGAGAUAGAAAGUGAUCUAACAAAGUAUUGCAAACAUGGUGCGCACUCAAUAAAAAUGUAUUCACGACUGACGGUCACGCAAGAGUAGUUCAUUGCAACAGUCUGUUUAUAAGAUGCCUCCUGGCAGCCCAGCAACAUAGUCAAAUUCAGCACUGUGUAGGAGAUUAAAAUUUCCAAACCCUAUAAAAAUAUUUUUAGCAAUCCUCCAUCCCAUCAAUCCAGUUAUUCAGCCUUUUCAUGGGAGUACAAUAAAUAAAAUCAAUACCUUUUAUUACUUCACCACCAGAAACUGUUAAUAUAGCCAAAUUCAAAGAUGUAAGGCUGUCUGCAAGCUGAUCCCUCCUUCAGGGAGUAUUUUAUGAGGAAAGUGCACUGUUAUAAUUUGGUGUGAAGAAGGAAGGCUAUCCUUAAAUCCUAAGAAGGACUUUGCAGGUUGAAAAAGCACAAAUCAGGGGUAUCAGUCCCCUCUGUAUGAGCUCUAGCUGGAUAAAUACAGGGAAAAAAGUCAACUAUUUUUUUCAAAGAAAUAGUUUCCUGAAAAUAUAUACAGGAUGAUUUUUAUAUUUAUUUCAGUAAUAAAAAGGAUAUACUACCGCAUCCCAGGCAAACGGGACAAAUCCCUCCUUAGUACUUAUCUUUCUUAAUUGUGCUCUGUUUCUAG